UAUUGGAAACAGCCUUGUGAUUACUUUGCUAGAGUUUGUUUUGUCCAACCAGUCUCUAGUUUGGAGGAAAAUGUUUACAUAGACAGACUUCAUCACUGCAUCAGAAGAAAAUCCUUCCACUUCUGCAACCCUGGUGACAGUCAACGCACAUGUACUGCAUUUUUUUUAUUAUUAUUUUUUAUUUUUGGCUUACAGAGGAUGGUAUGGCAUGAAGCCAUCACUAGUGUUUUGAGAAUUCUGAGAAUUCAAGAGGAGGAAAUGAAGCAGGGCUGUGUGUUUAGACCUACUCCUGGCAUACAGGGGUGUGCUUGGCUGGCAGCCCCACAGCUGCUUAUCCCCCUGAGCCACCAACUUCCCUGUGGCUGCUGGAUCCCUCACCACAGAGUGGGGAUUCAGGGUACUCUCUCAUCACCCUUCCUCCAGCUCAUUCCCUUAUGAUUUUGGAUCCCCACUUCCCAAAACAGAUUUUUUCACCAUAUGUGAGAAGCUGAUUGAUUGACUUUCUUUGGUGAAAGGGGACUGCUCUUAACUAGGCAAAAUGUUGAGCAAGAUCUUAAUCCUGCUUUUGGGGAAAGGGUUUGUGUGUGCAUUUUUCAACGUGUAAAUUCAAUUGAUCCAGUAGUCUUGGAAGCCUUCUGGUAAACUGUAUCUUCCUCCUUCAUUUGUGUUACAUGAACUUAUUUUUCUCCUAGUCACUGUUGUGCACUCUAUAACAAUCUGUCCACAAAAUGGAGACAUUUAAGAAAUAAUUAUAUUGGCUCAUUACAUUCUCAGUCCUUUAUUCUUUAAUUCUGGUGCUAAUAAACACCAAAAUUUAUAUCCCUCCUGCCAAACACUGCAUGCCUUCAGGCACUGGUGUAGUUUAUAUUCACAUCAUCUCUAAAUCAUGCUGCAUAUCAAGCUGAAUGCUUUGGGGAUUUGUUAUUCUGUGCAACAAAGCCUAAUAUGCUUUCCUGGUCAGCAUGUGACUGCACCUGGAUCAUCUACUGCAUCUCUAAUGCCUGUAACAGAUACUUCCUGUUUUGGGAUUCUUUCCAUUGUUCUCUGCUUUGAACUUGACUUGCCUUCUUUAGACAAGAUGUUUAAAUGAUUGAAGACUUAGACACCCAUUUCUGUAUAGUGACCCAUGUUCUUCCUCUAAUGUAUGUUAUGUACAAACGUGGAGGUUUGCAGGAGCCUUAUUGUAUUGUAUGAUUAAAUCUUAUUUUUAAACACAAUCUGCAUCAGUGAAACAAAAUUACUUUUUAAACACAUGAGGCUAAAAGGGUGCAAAGCCUUGGUGGAUUCAGCUAAAUUAUUUUACAAUGAUUUCUUCUUGAUUUAAUUUAAUUAAUUAACUACAGAUAAGUGUGAUUACAAGUGCUUUUGAGUAAUUGCUGUCUCUUCCUAAGUGUUUGUACAGAACCUAAAACAAUGAAGCCAGUCCUAUGAAUAGUAAUAAAUUUAAGGAAAAAGGUUCAAUUGUGUAUUUUAACAAAAUGCAUAUGUUAUGUUGUUUACCUUUUGCCUUGACUAUAAAAAGUAUAAAUGCUUAAAUAAAUCAAAAGAGCCUAUACUGUUAUAUAUAACACACUAACUUAAAACCCCAAACUGAAAAACUUAAUAUGUUGCUUUGUUCCCAUAGCAAUAAAAAUAAAAGAGCUUAAAACUCUAAGUUGCUGAAUAUUCUCUAUCUCACUUAAUGUUAAUUUAGUAAAUAAAAAUGUGUGUAACAUUAGAGAAGA